CCUACGGGAGGCAGCAGUGGGGGAUAUUGCACAAUGGGGGAAACCCUGAUGCAGCGACGCCGCGUGGACGAAGAAGUAUUUCGGUAUGUAAAGCCCUAUCAGCAGGGGAGAAGAAAUGACGGUACCUGAGUAAGAAGCACCGGCUAAAUACGUGCCAUCAGCCGCGGUAAUACGUAUGGUGCAAGCGUUAUCCGGAUUUACUGGGUGUAAAGGGAGCGCAGGCGGGACGGCAAGCCUGGUGUGAAAGCCCGGGGCCCAACCGCGGGACUGCAUUGGGAACUACCGGGCUGGAGUGCCGGAGAGGUAGGCGGAAUGCCUAGUGUAGCGGUGAAAUGCGUAGAUAUUAGGAGGAACACCAGUGGCGAAGGCGGCCUACUGGACGGUGACUGACGCUGAGGCUCGAAAGCGUGGGGAGCAAACAGGAUUAGAUACCCGUGUAGUC
rnacentral:rRNA from 1 species